GGGGCUAUAGCUCAGCUGGGAGAGCGCUUGACUGGCAGUCAAGAGGUCCGCGGUUCGAUCCCGCGUAGCUCCA
rnacentral:tRNA from 1 species